rnacentral:tRNA from 1 species
UUUUGGGGCCCAUACCCCAAAAAUGUUGGUUAAUCCCCCUCUUUUACUA